rnacentral:miRNA from 1 species
CACCAUAGGGUCUACUAUUUUC